AAAGCUGACACUUGGAAAUAGCGGGACCCGGAGAUUGGUAGAUCCGGGCGUAAGGGACCGAAUACGAGUAGGGAAGUCCGCGAUGUUCCGAGGCGAGAAAAGGCGAAGGUAGGGUGCCCGUACCGCAAACCGACACAGGUAGAUGAGGAGAGAAUCCUAAGGCCAACGGGAGAAGGGUUGUUAAGGAACUCGGCAAAAUGACCCCGUAACUUCGGGAUAAGGGGAGCCUGUCUAUGGCAGGCCGCAGAGAAUAGGCCCAAGCGACUGUUUACCAAAAACACAGGUCUAUGCUAAAUCGAAAGAUGACGUAUAUGGGAUGACGCCUGCCCGGUGCUGGAAGGUUAAGAGGAGAUGUCAGGCAACGAAGCAUUGAAUCGAAGCCCCAGUAGACGGCGGCCGUAACAAUAACGGUCCUAAGGUAGCGAAAUUCCUUGUCAGGUAAGUUCUGACCCGCACGAAUGGCGUAACGAUUUGGGCGCUGUCUCAACAGCCCACCCGGCGAAAUUGUUGUACUGGUGAAGAAGCCAGUUACCCGCAACUAGACGGAAAGACCCCAUGGAGCUUUACUGCAGCUUAAUACUGGAAUUCGGUAAUUCAUGUACAGGAUAGGUGGGAGACUGAGAACUAACGUCGUCAGGCGCUAGGGAGUCGCCCUUGGGAUACCACUCUUGAAUUGCUGGGUUUCUAACCUGCGGCCGUGAAUCCGGUCGGGGGACACUGUUAGGCAGACAGUUUGACUGGGGCGGUCGCCUCCUAAAAGGUAACGGAGGCGCUCAAAGGUUGGCUCAGCACGGACGGAAAUCGUGCAAUGAGUGUAAACGUAUAAGCCAGCCUAACUGCGAGAGUGACGGCUCGAGCAGUAACGAAAGUUGGAGUUAGUGAUCCGGUGGUAUGUGAGUGGAAAUGCCAUCGCUCAACGGAUAAAAGCUACCCUGGGGAUAACAGGCUGAUCUCCCCCAAGCGUCCACAGCGACGGGGAGGUUUGGCACCUCGAUGUCGGCUCGUCACAUCCUGGGGCUGUACUCGGUCCCAAGGGUUCGGCUGUUCGCCGAUUAAAGUGGCACGCGAGCUGGGUUCAGAACGUCGUGAGACAGUUCGGUCCCUAUCUGUUGCGGGCGUAAGAGAUUUGAAGGGGGCUGUCCUUAGUACGAGAGGACCGGGAUGGACGCACCUCUGGUGCACCUGUUGUCGUGCCAACGGCAUAGCAGGGUAGCUACGUGCGGACGAGAUAAACGCUGAAAGCAUCUAAGCGUGAAACUUUCCCUAAGAUAAGAUCUCUCAUCCUUUAUGGAGUAAGGCACGAUGUAGACUAUAUCGUAGAUAGGCCGGAGGUGGAAGUGCAGUAAUGUAUGGAGCUGACCGGUACUAAUAAGCCGAGGGCUUGACCU
rnacentral:rRNA from 1 species